CGCCGUGCCUCUGUGCCCGCAGGUCCACUACUGCGCCAGCACGGGGACGACGCGCACCGUCCACCCCAGCGGCCUGGAGGUCGUGCGCUUUCCCGACAAGCGGACAGAGAAAUUCCACCCCGACGGCUCGAAGGAAGUCUUGUUCCCGGACGGGACCGUGACACGUCUUCACGACGGACAAGAGGAGACUGUGUUUCCCGAUGGGACGUCGGUCAGCGUGGCCAGGAACGGCGACAAGACCAUCGUGUUCAGCAACGGGCAGCGGGACAUCCACACGGCCGAGUUCAAGCGGCGGGAGUGCCCCGACGGCACCGUCAGGACCGUGUACUGCGAUGGCCGCCAGGAGACCAGGGACGCAUCCGGGAGGGUGAAGGUCAGGGGCGAGGCCAGGAACCGUGUCCUGGACUGGAAGUAGGUCACCCACGAACACAGCCCAGGCGUCCAGUCACCGUUUUGUUAAAACAAAAACAAUGAACGGAUGACGCGGUCGCUGCCCCGAACGACGGCCACACUCGAACUCUCGGAUCCCGAGGUGCCUGGAGGCUGCGAAGGAAGAGACGCCGCGUCUGGUUUCCUGGUUAGAGAAGCCCGAGGCCCCACCAGCCAGGGGUCCGAGAGGGGCCGGGACCCAGGAGGCUGCAGGCCGGCCACGUGGACCGUGUGGCCUCGCGCACGUGGUGGCCUGUCCUCUCGGUCCC